GCUGGGCUUUGCUCGUGUGGACGCUGGCGAUGUUGUGAUGCUGGGAGAUGAUGUGGCUGGAAGAAGCUGGAUCAUUGGAGAUUCGAGAGGAGCUGGGAUGCGUGGACUGCGAGGAAGACGGAAGCCGAGAUCUCGGGGGUUGCACGAACGCGGGAUGAUUGGGUGAUCGUUCGAAGUAUGCAUCCCGGCUGGCCGCGGGAUCUCCGGACG
rnacentral:lncRNA from 1 species